AUACGGAGGGUGCAAACGUUGUUCGGAAUUACUGGGCGUAAAGCGCGCGUAGGCGGUUUGUUAAGUCAGAUGUGAAAGUCCACAGCUCAACUGUGGAAGUGCAUUUGAGACUGGCAGACUUGAGUACUGGAGGGGGUGGUGGAAUUCCCGGUGUAGAGGUGAAAUUCGUAGAUAUCGGGAGGAAUACCGGUGGCGAAGGCGACCACCUGGCCAGAUACUGACGCUGAGGUGCGAAAGCGUGGGUAGCGAACAGGAUUAGAAACCCUAGUAGUCC
rnacentral:rRNA from 1 species